rnacentral:rRNA from 1 species
UCCGGUGGUUAUGGCGAGAGUGACCCACCCGUUCCCAUUCCGAACACGGAAGUUAAACCUCUCAGCGGCAAUGGUACUGAGGAGUUGACCUCGGGAGAGUAGCACGCUGCCGGAU